CGGAGCACACGGUGGUGGUACC
rnacentral:miRNA from 1 species